UACGUAGGUGGCAAGCGUUGUCCGGAUUUACUGGGCGUAAAGAGCGCGCAGGCGGUUGGAUAAGUCGAAUGUGAAAGCCCCCGGCUCAACUGGGGAGGGUCAUUCGAUACUGUCCGACUCGAAGGCAGGAGAGGGAAGCGGAAUUCCCGGUGUAGUGGUGAAAUGCGUAGAUAUCGGGAGGAACAUCAGUGGCGAAGGCGGCUAUCUGGACUAACACUGACACUGAGGCACGAAAGCGUGGGGAGCAAACAGG
rnacentral:rRNA from 1 species